AUCUUGUUGAAGAGUCCCAAAUAGUACGAAAUGCAGAUCCAGGAU
rnacentral:hammerhead_ribozyme from 1 species